GGUGUCCUCUGCCUUUGCCUCCUCCUCAGUGUCCAGUUCCCAUAUCUGAGUCCUGCAGGAGAUCGCCAUGAGCCCUAUGAUCACUUCUGCAGCUGCCAAGCCUAGGCUACAUGGAGCCUUCAAUCAGCCCUUUGGGGAGUGUUUCUAAGGAAUCACCACUAUAUCUUUGAUCAUUAGCAAUGCUGUUGAUGGUCAAGGUACUAUGGAACACAAGGGGAAAAUAACUAACCCAUUCUGUGCAUGGGGGGUUGGCAGUCCUGGGCUACCAUGUUGCCAACGUCUCUCUCCAACUGGCAUUGAACAAAUAUUAGUGGACCGAGCCCUGGAGCCCAGCAGAAGGAAGAGAGAACAGAGCAGAGAAAUCCCUGUGUAGACACAACAGUGAAUCCUGACUGUGCUCCAGGACAAGGACAUGGAGGACAAAUGUGAGCACAUGACAUCAGAAACAUAUGCAGAGAGACAAAGUCUACACUCAAGCAAGGCCUGUCCUGAUCUCCCUUUUGCUGAUGACUGUGGCGUCCUGGCCAGUCCAGAAAUGCCUGGAAGGGUUCCUGGCUUGCUUCUGUGUGUGCCAUGCUGUGCGCCCAUGCAUGUGGUUUGUCAUAGGGAACGUUUCUUGGUGUUCUAUAGUAAGAUCUUCAACCCAAGCUCCAGCUGGGAGGAGCACCUUCGUCCACUGACUUUGAGAUGACUGCCUGGUCUGCUUAGCUAGCAGCACUCUGUGCCUUGCAAUCCCCACCAUGCAAGUCUGCUCCUUCCAGAGGUCUGCUGGCUUCCUCGGAUCUAAGGAAACCCCUCUUCCAGAAAGUGGUUUCUGACUCACAGGGGCACCUAGAGACAUGUGGAUUAAGAAGGCCUUCCAGGCCUCUGGCCAAAUUCUAAUGGUGAAAUUUGAAGCCGGGUCUUUGAAAUUCAGAAUAUCUCUUCCACACUGUGGAUCUGAUCACCACCCCCACCCAGAAGGCAGUAGGGUAGGAAGGACACAUCAUCCCUGCCACCACCAGCCAUCUGGAGACUGAGAUGGGAGGGCUGUGGCAGAGUAAUCUGUGACCAGGGCUUGGGGACUUGGUGUGGGGCCUGUAAUGCCUGGCUAGACUCCACCUCAUCAAGAAGAUUAAGGGUAAUUGAGUAGCGGCUCUCACAAGGCUACUUGAAAGUUGGAGGUUGGCCCAAAACCUGCCCACUAGGAUGCGCUCAUGCCAGGAUUGUGAGAGCUCCCAUCAAAAACCAGAAGAACAUCCAGGCCUCCUGUGGCUGGAGGAAACCUGUGGCAACCAGAUCAGGGCUCUUCUGACACAGAUAAGACACCUGAUGCUCAUUGGUCUGUGAGGGACACUUCACUAUAACUAUCCUCAUCUUUGCCAUCUCACAGGGGAAGAAAGUGAGGCCUCCAGAGGGAUCCCAGAAUCCCGGUGUCAGGGAAGACUAUUGAGGUCAAGUGCCAUAGCCCAAGUGACUCUGGGCAGAGUGCCCCUUGCUAAGCUCCGGGAACCACCCUCCUUAUUGAGUCAGACAGAGCCAAGAAUGAGAGCCUUGAGAUAGAGGGAUCAAGCCGAACUGCACACUAACCCUUUUCUUUCCAUCUUACAACACUGCUCUUGCAGGUACCUGCAGAAACCUGAAGGGGGCACUGGAUCUGGAGUUUCAUGAAGUUGUGAGCUGCCCAGCAUGGGUGCCAAUAACACUGGUCUUUAGUAGCAGGAACUGGCACACUUAAACAUGGAGCUGUCUCUCCAGCCCUGCACAUGGGGCCCGCUAACUUCUGACCUCUUAAACCUUCAUUGACUCCCACUACUUCCAGGACCCCCUGAGGACCUCCCUGCUGCCUUCUUCCCACAACACCAGUCUCCCUGUCAUAUCCCUGUCUCUUCUCUCCUGUGCCUCCCUGCCAUCCUCUAAAGCGCUUUCUACGA
rnacentral:lncRNA from 1 species